rnacentral:rRNA from 1 species
CGUAGUCAACAUGCCCAGGGGACGUGGAUAACCUCGGGAAACUGAGGAUAAACCACGAUAAGUCACUACUUCUGGAAUGGGUAAUGUCUCAAAUCUACAUGGCCCCUGGAUUGGACUGCGGCCGAUCAGGCUGUUGGUGAGGUAAUGGCCCACCAAACCUGUAACCGGUACGGGCUCUGAGAGGAGGAGCCCGGAGAUGGGCACUGAGACAAGGGCCCAGGCCCUAUGGGGCGCAGCAGGCGCGAAACCUCUGCAAUAGGCGAAAGCCUGACAGGGUUACUCUGAGUGAUUUCCGUUAAGGAGAUCUUUUGGCACCUCUAAAAAUGGUGCAGAAUAAGGGGUGGGCAAGUCUGGUGUCAGCCGCCGCGGUAAUACCAGCACCCCGAGUGGUCGGGACGUUUAUUGGGCCUAAAGCAUCCGUAGCCGGUUCUACAAGUCUUCCGUUAAAUCCACCUGCUUAACAGAUGGGCUGCGGAAGAUACUAUGGAGCUAGGAGGCGGGAGAGGCAAGCGGUACUCGAUGGGUAGGGGUAAAAUCCGUUGAUCCAUUGAAGACCACCAGUGGCGAAGGCGGCUUGCCAGAACGCGCUCGACGGUGAGGGAUGAAAGCUGGGGGAGCAAACCGGAUUAGAUACCCGGGUAGUCCCAGCUGU